rnacentral:rRNA from 1 species
ACAGGCAUAAAUUUCUAGGUUACCACUUCAGCAAAGUGACUGCACCUAUUCAGUCCUGAAGAGCUAAGCAGCAUCAAACCUGGUUAGUAACUGGAUGGGUGACCACCAGGAAAUCACAGGGCACUAGCCUGAG